CUCAAGAGCGCUCGGCCGAGUCGGGCACGAGCGAGCGGGCGGGCCGGUGAGCGCGUCCGCGGGGUGUCCGAGCGGGGCUGGCGCGGCGCCGGCGCGGAGCGGGUGUGGCGGCUUGGCCUGCGCGGCGGCCGCGGACAGAGCAAACUGUAUCAUGAAAUUGAAGGAAUUUUGAAAGAUGUCUGAAGUUUAGUGGCCACGUCCAUCAUCUGUCUUCUCACCCCUAAAAAAAGAAUAAAUGGGAUGUUUCAGAAGAGAGCUAGAUAAAAAGAAGAGUGUUGCAAAUGGCUUCAGAAUCUACCAAUGGGAAGCAAGCUAGGAGUCACGUGACAAAGGGGCGUCGCCAACACCAGCAGCAGCAGCAGCCUCAGCAGGCGAGGAACAGGUCCUCCGUCAGUGAGUGUGAUGGCGAUGACUCCUUCAUCUUCGAAGCCAACGAAGCCUGGAAGGACUUCCACGGCUCUCUCCUGGGCUUCUAUGAGAACGGGGAGCUCUGUGACGUCACACUAAAGGUUGGCUCAAAGCUGAUCUCUUGUCACAAGCUGGUGCUGGCUUGUGUGAUCCCCUACUUCAGAGCCAUGUUUCUUUCCGAAAUGUCUGAAGCCAAGCAGGCACUGAUCGAGAUCCGAGACUUUGACGGUGAUGCCGUGGAAGACUUGGUGAAGUUUGUCUACUCCUCGCGGCUGACUCUGACAGUGGACAACGUCCAGCCUCUGCUGUAUGCAGCGUGUAUUCUGCAGGUCGAGCUGGUGGCCAGGGCCUGUUGUGAAUACAUGCAGCUGCACUUCCAUCCCUCCAACUGCCUGGCAGUGCGGGCCUUUGCGGAGAGCCACAACCGGAGAGACCUGAUGGACAUGGCGGACCAGUAUGCCUGUGAGCACUUCACUGAGGUGGUGGAGUGCGAGGACUUUGUGAGUGUGUCCCCGCAGCAUCUCCACAAGCUCCUGUCCUCCAGCGACCUCAACAUCGACAGCGAGAAGCAGGUCUACAGCGCCGCCAUCAAGUGGCUUCUUGCCAACCCGCAGCAUCAUCCCAAGUGGCUGGACGAGACACUUGCACAGGUCCGUCUGCCAUUAUUGCCAGUUGAUUUUCUUAUGGGUGUUGUGGCGAAAGAACAGAUUGUCAAGCAGAAUCUGAAAUGCAGAGAUCUACUGGACGAAGCAAGGAACUACCACCUUCACCUGAGCAGUAAGCCAGUCCCUGACUUUGAGUAUACAGUCCGGACCACGCCAAGGAAGCACACUGCCGGUGUGCUGUUUUGUGUGGGUGGUCGAGGCGGAUCUGGUGACCCCUUUCGCAGUAUUGAAUGCUAUUCUAUCAACAAAAACAGCUGGUUCUUCGGACCAGAAAUGAACAGCCGCAGGAGACAUGUGGGUGUGAUCUCUGUGGAAGGGAAAGUGUAUGCGGUGGGCGGCCAUGAUGGAAACGAGCACCUGGGCAGCAUGGAGAUGUUUGACCCUCUCACUAAUAAGUGGAUGAUGAAGGCGUCGAUGAACACCAAGAGGCGAGGAAUCGCCUUGGCCUCCUUAGGGGGCCCGAUAUAUGCAAUUGGAGGGUUAGACGACAAUACGUGCUUCAGUGACGUGGAAAGAUAUGACAUCGAGUCUGACCAGUGGAGCACAGUGGCACCAAUGAACACGCCCCGUGGAGGCGUCGGCUCCGUGGCUUUAAUAAACCAUGUUUACGCAGUAGGUGGCAAUGACGGCGUAGCCUCCUUGUCCAGUGUGGAGAGGUAUCACCCGCAUCUGGAUAAGUGGGUAGAAGUGAAGGAAAUGGGUCAGCGGAGAGCGGGCAACGGCGUCAGCGAGCUCCACGGUUGUCUAUAUGUUGUUGGUGGUUUUGACGAUAAUUCCCCUUUGAGCUCGGUUGAACGAUAUGACCCUCGAAGCAACAAGUGGGAUUACGUGGCGGCACUCACCACUCCCAGGGGUGGCGUAGGGAUCGCGACAGUGAUGGGCAAAAUCUUUGCAGUUGGCGGUCACAAUGGCAACGCAUACCUGAACACGGUGGAGGCAUUUGAUCCGGUGCUGAACAAGUGGGAGCUGGUGGGACCCGUGUCUCACUGCCGAGCUGGUGCUGGUGUGGCCGUGUGUGACUGUUUAACUAGUCAGAUCCGAGACGUAGGUCAUGGGUCCACUAAUGUGGUUGACUGUAUGUGAUUAAGCCCCAGCAACAAGGACGCAAUCCCAUCUGAUGGACAGGAAGACAACAUGGCCCAUUUGACUGUGACUGCAGCCUCUGUCUUUGAAUGUCAGCUGUUAUGGUGACUUUCAUUUCUUGGGUGUUUAUGAAGUACGGAAACUGUGUGUUUCUGAGACAUUCUUGAAACCCUAUUAGUGUCUGUAGGAGGCCUUCGCUUCCAUUCAGGAGUUUGAGAACUACAGGAGGCAGCCAUGCUGGCCUCCUCAUCAAGUGUACCGGCCGCCAUUCUUUCCCAUUCAUGAGAAUUUCUCAGUGAUGACCGAGGAUUAGCGUUAGUGCAGUGCCCAGUGAAUGAGAUUGGCGUUAGGGGACUGCCCAGUGGAAAGACAGGAGGAUAUGUGAGGCCCUUGUCACCUAGGGAGGGGAAUGGGGGGGUCCUUUAACCUUGCUCUUUGGAGUAGUUGUUGGAUUUGGAGUGAGGAUCCAGUUUCUGUCAUUUGUCACUGUCUGGGUUUUCUAGUUGUACAAAGCUGAAUUUAUUUAUUAUCAGGACAUGAAUGCAUUUUUACAAAAUUCCUUUCUGCAGUAUAGUUUGAUAUUUAGUU